rnacentral:rRNA from 1 species
CCUACGGGGCGCAGCAGUGGGGAAUAUUGCACAAUGGGGGAAACCCUGAUGCAGCGACGCCGCGUGAGUGAAGAAGGAUUUCGGUAUGUAAAGCUCUAUUAGCAGGGAAGAAGAAGGCGGUAACUUACAAAGAAGCCCACGCUAACUACGUUCCAGCAGCCGGGGUUAUACGUAGGGGGGAAGCGUUUGCCGGAGUUACUGGGGGGAAAGGGAGCGUAGGCGGGAGAGCAAGUCUGGAGUUAAAUUUAAUGGCUUAACCAUGGAAAAGCAUUGUAAACUGUUUAACUGGAGUGCAGGAGAGGUAAGCGGAAUUCCUAGUGUAGCGGUGAAAUGCGUAGAGAUUAGGAGGAACACCAGUGGCGAAGGCGACUUACUGGACUGUAACUGACGUUGAGGCAUGAGAGCGUGGGGAGCAAACAGGAUUAGAUACCCGAGUAGUC